rnacentral:rRNA from 1 species
ACGGGAGGCAGCAGCUAAGAAUAUUCCGCAAUGGACGAAAGUCUGACGGAGCGACGCCGCGUGGAUGAUGAAGGCCGGAAGGUUGUAAAAUCCUUUUAAGUGUGAAGAAUAAGUAGAAGAAGAGAAUGCUUCUAUGGUGACGGUAGCACUUGAAUAAGCAACGGCUAAUUACGUGCCAGCAGCCGCGGUAACACGUAAGUUGCGAGCGUUGUUCGGAAUUAUUGGGCGUAAAGGGCAUGUAGGCGGUUUUGCAAGCUUGGUGUGAAAGGCAGGAGCUUAACUCCUGGACUGCGUUGAGAACUGCAAAACUAGAGUCACUGAGGGGCAAUCAGAAUUCCAGGUGUAGGGGUGAAAUCUGUAGAUAUCUGGAAGAAUACCAAUGGCGAAGGCAGGUUACCAGCAGAUGACUGACGCUGAGGUGCGAAGGUGCGGGGAGCAAACAGGAUUAGAUACCCUGGUA